rnacentral:lncRNA from 1 species
GGGGUGGGGGUCGCGGUGGGAGGGGUCAGCCGGUGGGCGGUGCGGGGGUCGUGGUGCGGGCGGAGGCGGCGGGCCGGUCCUUGCGGCACCGACACUAAGUGUCCGGACCCCGAGGGAGCGGCAGGCGCCCUGCGGUUGGUCCCGCGGGCGGGCCGGGGGUCUCCGGGGGUGUCCGGGGGUGUCCGGGGGUCUCCCCGCGGGUCUCCCCGCGGGUCUCCCCGCGCCGCCCGACUGCUGCCCGCUCGAGGAGGGCGGGAGGGAGGCCUCAGCCGGCCGGGCCCAGCGCGGUGGGCGUCCCCGAUGGAGAGGAGAAGCUGCGUUCUAUCUCACAGUUGAGCCAGUAAAGAUGAAAUUCAUUUCAAACCUGACAGCGUUCCUAGACCCUGAAGCAAUGAUCAUUUUUGACUCGCAGUGUAUAUGUUGCCCUCGGGGAGGCAGUGGCGUUAGAACUUCAUGAGUGCCCACAGGAAUCCACAUGGGACCUUUCUCUUGCCAAACUACCCUGCUUUCCUCCUCUGGAAAACCGAAUCCCACUCCUCAAGAUCUGUGCCUGAGUUAAAAAAAAAAAAUCAAAGUUCACUUCAGUGGGCCAGUUGGUCAAACAGGAAUGGUGGCUUGAUCUAAUGCAUCAAGCCUUGGUGCCUGCUUCCCUUUGGUCCCUCUGCGAGACGGUUCAUUGUGCAUCAGUCACUUUGAAAGGGAGAUGAGUUAAUUUGCAGUCUGAAGCAUUUUGAUUGUCCCAGAAUUGGAAUCAGUCACCGUUCGCUAUACCAUCGCCCAGUGAGACACUGGUAAGUUCUCUUUUAAAUUAAAGGGAGUGAUACAACAAGGCUAAAAUAUCCGUUGGAUUGUUAGAACUUUGAAGGUUUAUUUUUAAAUUAAUCUGAAGGGUAGAGGCUAUUGGCUAAUGGGACAGUAAAAAAAUGCAAUGCCAGCCGGGUCUUUAGGAGACCACUUAUUCUUAUAAAGGGGGCUGGAACUCUCUAGGCUCA